UGGGGAAUUUUGGACAAUGGGGGCAACCCUGAUCCAGCCAUUCCGCGUGAGUGAAGAAGGCCUUCGGGUUGUAAAGCUCUUUUGUCAAGGAAGAAACGGUAGUAGCGAAUAACUAUUACUAAUGACGGUACCUGAAGAAUAAGCACCGGCUAACUACGUGCCAGCAGCCGCGGUAAUACGUAGGGUGCAAGCGUUAAUCGGAAUUACUGGGCGUAAAGCGUGCGCAGGCGGUUGUGUAAGUCAGAUGUGAAAUCCCCGGGCUCAACCUGGGAAUUGCAUUUGAGACUGCACGGCUAGAGUGUGUCAGAGGGGGGUAGAAUUCCACGUGUAGCAGUGAAAUGCGUAGAUAUGUGGAGGAAUACCGAUGGCGAAGGCAGCCCCCUGGGAUAACACUGACGCUCAUGCACGAAAGCGUGGGGAGCAAACAGGAUUAGAUACCCUCGUAGUCCCUGAGCGGGCUGGCAAGGCGCAU
rnacentral:rRNA from 1 species